GACGAACGCUGGCGGCGUGCUUAACACAUGCAAGUCGAACGGAAAGGCCCCUUUGGGGGUACUCGAGUGGCGAACGGGUGAGUAACACGUGAGUAACCUGCCCUUGACUUCGGGAUAACUUCAGGAAACUGGGGCUAAUACCGGAUAGGAAUCCUUGCUGCAUGGUGGGGGUUGGAAAGCUUCGGCGGUUUUGGAUGGACUCGCGGCUUAUCAGCUUGUUGGUGGGGUAGUGGCUUACCAAGGCUUUGACGGGUAGCCGGCCUGAGAGGGCGACCGGCCAAAUGGGGACUGGGUACGGCCCAGAAUCCUAAGGGGGGGAAGAGGGGGGAAUAAUGGAAAAUGGGGGGAAGGCUGAUGGAGGAACGGCGCGGGGGGGAAUAAGGGCUUCGGGGUGGAAAACGGUUUCAGCAGGGGCGGAAGCUGUGGUGACGGUACCUGCAGAAGAAGCACCGGCUAACUACGUG
rnacentral:rRNA from 1 species